rnacentral:rRNA from 1 species
AGCUCUAAUAGCGUAUAUUAAUGUUGUUGCGGUUAAAAAGCUCGUGGUUGAAAGUGAAGGGUAAAACUGGAGCUGGGGAAACCCAUUUGCAGUUAUUAGCGCGUUUUAAGGUAUUCGGUUUACUUGACUUAAUUGUCAAAUAAGCUUAACGGAUGCCUUGUAGCUACUCUGAUAAAAUCAGAGUGCUUAAAACAAGCAUAUUGCUUGUAUAUUUGUGCAUAGUAUAGCAAAUAUGUCCUUCGCUUUUAUAGAUGUUGUUUAGCCGUGGUAAUGAUUAACAGGGAUUGUCGGUGGCAUUUGUAUUUGAAAGUCAGAGGUGAAAUUCUAUGAUCUUUCAAAGACAAACUAGCGCGAAAGCAUUUGCCAAGUAUGUUUUCA